rnacentral:rRNA from 1 species
AUUGAACGCUGGCGGCGUGCUUAACACAUGCAAGUCGAGCGGCAGCGCGGUAGCAAUACUGGCGGCGAGCGGCGGACGGGUGAGUAACGCUUGGGAAUCUGCCUAUUAGUGGGGGACAACCCGGGGAAACUCGGGCUAAUACCGCAUACGCUCUACGGAGGAAAGCCGGGGACCGCAAGGCCUGGCGCUAAUAGAUGAGCCCAAGUCGGAUUAGCUAGUUGGUAGGUAACGGCCUACCAAGGCGACAAUCCGUAGCUGGUCUGAGAGGACGACCAGCCACACCGGAACUGAGACACGGUCCGGACUCCUACGGGAGGCAGCAGUGGGGAAUAUUGGACAAUGGGGGAAACCCUGAUCCAGCGACGCCGCGUGGGUGAAGAAGGCCUGCGGGUUGUAAAGCCCUUUCGGUGAGGAAGAAAAGUUGCGACCUAACACGUCGCGACCUUGACGUAACUCAUUAAAGAAGCACCGGCUAACUCUGUGCCAGCCGCCGCGGUAAU